GUGCGAAGGCGAGAGAAAGAGAGCGAGGAAAAAUGGGAGGGGCGAGAAAGAAAUAGCUAUUUCUUUCUUGCCCCUCCCAUUUUUUCUCGCUCUUUCUCUCGCCUUCGCAUC